UACGUAGGUGGCAAGCGUUAUCCGGAAUUACUGGGUGUAAAGGGCGUGUAGGCGGGAUAAUAAGUCAGAUGUGAAAUUCCGGGGCUCAACCUCGGAGCUGCAUCUGAAACUAUUGUUCUUGAGUGCUGGAGAGGAUAUCAGAAUUCCUGGUGUAGCGGUGGAAUGCGUAGAUAUCAGGAGGAAUACCGGUGGCGAAGGCGGGUAUCUGGACAGUAACUGACGCUGAGGCGCGAAAGCGUGGGGAUCAAACAGG
rnacentral:rRNA from 1 species